GAUGAACGCUAGCGGCAGGCCUAAUACAUGCAAGUCGAACGGUGUCUUCGGACAUAGUGGCGCACGGGUGCGUAACACGUAUGCAACCUACCUUACAUUGGGGGAUAGCCUUUCGAAAGGGAGAUUAAUACCGCAUAAGACAGUAGCUGGGCAUCCAGCAGCUGUUAAAGAUUUAUCGAUGUAAGCUGGGCAUGCGUCCAAUUAGCUAGUUGGUGAGGUAACGGCUCACCAAGGCAAUGAUUGGUAGGGGAACUGAGAGGUCAAUCCCCCACACUGGCACUGAGAUACGGGCCAGACGCCUACGGGAGGCAGCAGUAGGGAAUAUUGGGCAAUGGACGCAAGUCUGACCCAGCCAUGCCGCGUGCAGGAUGAAGGCGUUAUGCGUUGUGAACUGCUUUUAUACAGGAAGAAACGACUCUUGCGAGAGGCAUUGACGGUACUGUAUGAAUAAGCACCGGCUAACUCCGUGCCAGCCGCCGCGGUAACAC
rnacentral:rRNA from 1 species